rnacentral:misc_RNA from 1 species
AUUUAUUUAUGAUAAUAAAUUCAAUGCUAAGCUCAUGAAAUACUAAUCAUUAAAAAAAUAUAGAACUGUAUGAAAAAACUACUAAAAUUACGUGUAAACAUAAACAUAAAACCGUUUAAAAAAAAAAAAAAAGUGGAAAUCUCAAUUCAAAAGAAAUAAAGACACAAGACAGGCCAUGUGGUUAGGCCAGCCCCACCCUAUUAGAAUCCCACAUCAAAAGAAUAUGAAGUAAAAUGGCAAUAUAUAAGUGAUUUAGUUGCAACAUUGACUUGGCUAAUUAUUUUGAUAUGUAAAGCAAUCUAAUCAUUUAUAUAAAUCCGAAUUAAAAAUGAAUUAAAUUGUAAUUUGAUCAACACUCUCUCCAAAUUUAACAAUUUUUAAUAGUUAUUGACAAAAAUUACGGCAUAGUUCUUAGA